rfam:Streptococcus iniae ITSA1 contig083, whole genome shotgun sequence.
AUGGGAAUAAAUCUCUUUCUAGUGAAGUGUCGUAACUCUACUAUACAGGAUUUAUUCCUUUUU